GAUGAAGCCUACCAUGGCUCAAAACCGACUUGGUGAGAGCAGUUUGGGUUCAGGGCAGAGCACGGACAUGAGGUUUUGCUGCUAACGCUGCCAGUGAGGUGCAGUCUCUGGGGGGCAGCACACCACCACCUCCUGGGCCCGACUGCUGCAGACACAGCUUCGACAUCUCCUCUUAGAAAGAAAUGCUUCUGUUUUGAAGUCUUCAGAAAGCUUGGUUUUGACUUCAGGAGGCUUCCUGCAGUAAAUACCUUCCAUUGAUUUUUUACAGUUUCCAUUACUGCGUAGAAUCCUGACUUGUGGAAAAGCAGCCCUUCAGAAAGAGGGCUCGUUCUUAGGUUCUUGCCAAGUGGUUUCUGUUCUGGAUGCCAUGAGAUCUCCUGUUCACCCACGACCGGACACCAAGAAGGGCAGUUUACAUGUUUGAUGCUUCAGAAGGAAGAUGUAAAGGAUGUUUUCCAUCUUCUCGGCUAAGAGAAGGCCAAGAUUGCCCAUAUGCAAUGACUAAAUGUGAAGUACAGAAGAAAGGACAAAAAAAGUACAGAUUUUGAAAAAGGCAAGAUCUGCGUUAAGGCACCAGGUGCUGGGCUGCUCUUCCCAUCACGAUGUUUUCAAUUCCAAAAGUUGCACUCCAAGUUCCAGGUAGAAAUCAAAUCCAAGACCCAGAGGUGAAAGACAUCCAGUUGGAACAAAGUUGCUGGAUAAUAUUUUUGACACAAAAGGGAGUGGUACUUUCAGAAAAUGCUUAUGAGAACAGCCUAUCUGGGGGAGGAAUGGAGACUUCAGCUUGGCGGCUGAGUAAGACAGCAAAAGCAACUCACCUAAGGACUUGUUGACUCUGCAGAAGAGAAAUUAAAUGGAACAACAUUAAUGAGUAACAGUGGCAGUAUCUUAUGUUCCUGUUCUGCAGCACAUGGGUAUGAAAGCAAAUGGGUUCAACACAUGUAAAAUCCUUAAAUCUUCAUAGCAAAAUGGCAAGCUUCUAACAGGGCUAGAAGAAAGAAGAGUGCAGUGUCCUAUAUAUUUUUUCCUAUUGUGCUUUUUCAUGGAAAUCUGCUUAUGGCCAGAGAAUAAUGCAUUAGAUGAACCUUUCGACUGAUACUGUAUGGACACUUAAAUGUUCUUCUGUAAGAACUGUUCUUUUAACAGUUAAGAGUUGAGGCUUCAAUGUGGCCUAAGAACAUCUGCAUAUAGCAGCAGGAUGUUGGGUUAUUGGCAGGAUUUCUGUCUAAUCAGGAUCCUAGAAAAAAGAAAAGUAUAUAUUGCAAGAUUUUAAAUGGUGGACAUUGUACUUUGGUAGUGUACACAAAAGAUGCAAGAACGUGAGACUGCUACAAGACCAAACGCGGAUUCUAUGAAAUGUAUUUAUUUGUUCCUUUCUAAAACAACAAUAGUAGAGAAAUAGAAAUAGCGUAAGAGAAGCUCAAUAACACAGGAAAAAGAUGCAGUGGCUUUGGAGGACCCUCCCUACCUCCCCGUGGGAAAGGAGGACGUACUUUUAAGAAAAGAUAAGCCAAGGUUAAAAGGUAAGGGUGGAAGAAAAGCACUGAUUUGAGGUGUAAUGUAGAGACUACAGAAAUUAUUCUGCACAAGUUAGUGCUGCACAAAACUUCAAAACAACUGGAUCAUGAGGCUCAGAACAGGAAAACAAAGGCCAGCAGACAAACUGGACAUUUACAAAAAUGUCAGGUUAUGAUGAUGUCAUUAACAACUUGAAACAACUGCAAGUAAAACCAAGCCACAGGCAAUUGUACAAUGGAGUGGCAAAAUAUCACCAGGAGAAAUGUAAGCAGUAUUUACAAUGCCAGGUAAGAUGUUCAACCUGAAAUAAUCC
rnacentral:lncRNA from 7 species